CCCUUAGAUGUUCUGGGCCGCACGCGCGCUACACUGAUGCAUUCAACGAGCCUAUCCUUGACCGACAGGUCCGGGUAAUCUUUGAAUCUGCAUCGUGACGGGGAUAGAUUAUUGCAAUUAUUAAUCUUCAACGAGGAAUGCCUAGUAGGCGCAAGUCAUCAGCUUGCGUCGAUUACGUCCCUGCCCUUUGUACACACCGCCCGUCGCUCCUACCGAUUGAAUGGUCCGGUGAAGCGUUUGGACUAUGGUUUUCUGAUGGUCCGCCGUUGGAUUACCGUGGGAAGUUCGUUAAACCUUAUCAUUUAGAGGAAGGAGAAGUCGUAACA
rnacentral:rRNA from 1 species